rnacentral:rRNA from 1 species
GAUCCUGGCUCAGGAUGAACGCUAGCUACAGGCUUAACACAUGCAAGUCGAGGGGCAGCAUGGUCUUAGCUUGCUAAGGCCGAUGGCGACCGGCGCACGGGUGAGUAACACGUAUCCAACCUGCCGUCUACUCUUGGACAGCCUUCUGAAAGGAAGAUUAAUACAAGAUGGCAUCAUGAGUCCGCAUGUUCAACAUGUAAGUUUAAAAGGUUACUUCCGGUAGACGAGUGGGG